rnacentral:miRNA from 1 species
GCCGCCCCCCGCGGCAGCGGCGAGAGCGGCCUCAGUCUGACUGGAGGCGGCGGCGGCGAAGGCGGUGGCAGUGGC